AUAUAAAGUUGUUAACAGAGAAGUAGUUUUUACAUUUUAAAAGAAGCAAUAAUGUUUUAGGUCUACAUUAGUCAGUUGAACUUUGUUUGUUCACUUAAGUAUAAUUUCCUGUUUGCAUUUGUUUAUAGUUUGUUUCUUUGAACCUCUUUAAGACCUUUCAGUUAUAAAUAUCUUUGGGUAAAGGCUCUGCUGAAUUGUUUAAUAUAGCUAAAAUAUUUCAGUAAAUAAAGGGGAAAAAGGCUUUAGUAGUGUCUACCAUCUACCUUUUUUACUUGACUGUUAACUGUUACAGAUACCUUUUAUAAGUAUCUAUAAGGGCUAUGUUUUGGUAACCUCUAUGUGGGUUUUCUUUUUGAGCCUUUAACUAUUGUAAAGGGUUGUGGGGGAUUUCUAGCUAGUGGCUUGCACUUUUUUUUUCUGUUUAUUCUUUUACUAAUCAGUAUCUCUGGGGCUUAGUGUCUAGUUGCCUGUGGUUUCUCAUGUUCUGUGUUUAUGGGCAUAAAUUCUUAUAUUUUGGGGGAAAAGUGUCUGCCCCUCAGAUUACAGAAGGUGUUUAUGCAGUUAUAAAGAUAAUAUUUUCUUUAUUGAGUGAUCAUUGGGGAGGAAAAAAAGGCUCUUUUUGCACUAAAGUUAAGAAAGUGCAGCGUAAUGUUUUCUGGUUUGCUUUCUGUGAGACCUCAGCUGCAAGAGAUGCUGCUUUAUCAGAUGGAGUGGCUGCCAGCAUGGAAAGGCUUGACGUCAUGGCUGAGCUGAUCUUAUGAAGAGUUGCUACCAGAAAGUAUAGCAGAAAGCUAUUUAGUUUUUUUUUUUUUUUUCCUGACCAGUGCUUUGGCUUCUAGUUGAGGAACCUGCUGCAAAUGACAGAUUCUGGUACAUUAGGUCUGUCUUGUAGCUUUUGCAGCAGAUGUGUUAACCCUCACUAAGAACUUCUAGGCACCCCGAUGAACUCUUCACUAGAUAAGGACUGGGCUGGUCCAUGACUUUCAAGUGCACAGUGGGUUUAGAAUUUGUGAAGUUCAUGAAGAGCUCUGCCUUCUUGAUCACUGCAGGAUAGUGCUGAUGUGGGAGAGUUUGUUGCCUGAAGUCCUAAUCUCUUGUGCUGGGAAGAAAAGAAGCAUACCUGGAAAAAAAAGUCUUAAGAGCAAGUCCUGAGAGGCCCUUCAAUGGCUGAAAUGGAUACUGAGAUGAAAACGGCCCCCCCUCUAAGUUUGCAGCUGUCAUACUUGGAGCUACUGUCAUGGAUGGUACCUCCUUAUAUUUGACGUUAUACAGCCAGAGAUGAAGGUGAUUGUUGCCUCAGGUGCUGGACCUGGGUGCUGCUCCAGUUCAUCUGAAUGAUCACACAGGUGUUACAACAACCACAAGCACAUUGACUGGGAGAGGAUUUCAGGAUGCAGUAUCGUGUUUACAAGAUAACUACCCAUCCCUCCUUGCUACCUUGGAGAAUUUGCAACGGUGGGGCCAGAUUUAAUGCUGGAUGUGGAAAUCUUCUUUCUAACCAGGGAUGUAACCUGGUGCUGCCUGAUGACACAACACAGCAGGACAGCCUGGUUUUGGUAACUCCUUCAGCUGUGAUGCAGUUCCUGUCAUAUUUUAAAAGACAGCUAUUUGUUCGCAGCUAUGUGUGAUCUUUGCCUCUACAUUAAGCUUCACGGUAUUUCUUUCAGUACCCACUGAAGCACAAGGAGAAAAGAUGGAGAAUGCAGAAGAGAGUAGCCCAAAUCUGGAAAACCAAAUGGGAGUGGGAAUGAGAAAGUGCUCCAGCAUGGAAUGGCACUUUCCACUUACCUGAGUUCUGUUGGGAGCUGAGGCUCUUCCUAUGCUUUUCUGCAGCUGGGUGGCAGCAUUUCUGCAGCGAUUCGUGUGUAUGGUAAAUUAAUGACUCAAGGAUUUUUUUUUUUUUUUUUUGGAUGUAUCAGAUGUUAUGUGCUUAUUUUAGCUGUGAUUAUCCUUUUUAGAGCAACAUAAAACUCACGCAUUCUUCGUUACAUGUCUGUAAUAGUGAAUCCUAAUGAUGUUACUGCAAAUGUCAGUAGGUGGAAGAUUUUACAAAAUGACCUGGAGUUUAUAAACCUGUAGUGCGGAGACUUGCCUACUGUCUGCCUCCUGGCAUUUGGUGUCUUCCCUUACAUUCAGUCUGUGUUCAGUAUUUCCCAACUCAAACACCAGUUUGCUUCAUUUACACACAUCUGGGAAGAUGAAUUCAAAGACUGCCUCAAAGAUCCAAACUGAUAGUUUCCUUCACUGUAUUUCCCAUUUGUCUAUGCCACUCUUCACCUUCUACAUUAACAAAUUAAGUCUUAACUUUAAGGUUGAAUUUUGCAAGCCUAAAUGUUAAGCUAUAGGAUUUUUUCAUUAUUUGCAUCAGAAAGAGAAAUUCCUCACUGUGAAAUUAUCAUAGGGUUAUUGCUUAUCCUUUUUAUCUCUCUUAAGCUUUUUUGCCCCUUACCUUGAAAUUGGCUUUUCUGGGUAAUUUUCCUGUCUGUCCUUUGUACUUAUUCCUGUGUUCCUCUGUCCUUUGUGUAACCCAUUUUUUGAAUGGAUGUAGCUUUCUAGCAAUAUUUUACUAGUGCUGUCAUUACCCAGCUUUUAAUGGUUACGUUCCAUUUUAUGAAGAAUGCUGUGAACGUACCCUGAGAUGAGGCUGAGCCAGUUGCUGUGGCUGUGCACUGUAAUCCUUCCACCGUCACCUGGUGCUUGGCUGCGUUGAAACCAUUUGGUUGGAUUGUGACUAUUCGAUAGGCAAUUAGAUAGUUCUGUAUCAGUGACCUGUCUUCAAUUAUUACCCUACUGAACUUUGUUAACUGCAAACUUUAUCAGCAAAGAUUUUAUAUCACUUGUAACAAUAUUGAAUGACAUUUGAUCAAAUGCUGAUCUCCGGGAUAACCAUCACUGACUUUCACAUUAACUGAAGUUUUCCUAUCAGCAACUCAAUUAAAGACCUGAUGCUGAGUCAAUUUUUAAUCCGCUUUGUGUCUUUUUAGUACUAUUUGAUAUCCUUUAAAAAAAAUGUGAAACUGAAAAACUUUCAUUAUGUGGAAUUAAAUCUAACAGCUUGAAGAAAUUAAAAUAGCUACAUAGAUCUGUAGCUACAUGAGUAAUCUUGUAAGCUGCAACAAGUUUGUUUGAGAAGACUUAGAAAGGCGUAGAAAGACUAUGAAACCAUAUUGACAGUCAUUAAUUGCAUUUUAGCUUCUAAUUCUUUUUUGUUAUGAGACUCACAGUAACUGCUCUGUGGGAGUAAUAUAAUGUUAUCCAGACUGUAACUCCCUGGGUAUCCAUCUUGCCAUUUUUACAUCUUGAAACUACCCAGGGGGUCCCUCAAGGCUUGUGAAAUUCCUCAGUUUAAAGGAUUUAUUAAACACAGGUGUUCAGAAGGUUUCUCUGUUCAUCUGAGUGGGGCUUUACAGAUUCAUAGAUGCGAAUCUUUUGGAUGCACCAAUUUGAAAAUGCAUAGUGUAAGUGGGUUCUUCCUUCUUUUACAUACAGCAAUCUUUGUAUUGCAUGUUUCAUAGACAGGAUACAUAUGUCUAAAGAAAAAAAUACCUGAACAUCCAAACCCCAAAAGCCCCAAAAUAAACGAAAAGCCCAAACCAACCAACCAAGCAGUUUACAUGUAUCUGCUGUCGAUAUCCCUGUUUAGGAUUUUGUCAACUGCGUUUAGCAACAAGCUGUGUCUGACUUGAGAUUACUUUUGUUCUUGCUGUAUUUUAAAAUGGUUUGUUUCCAUUAACUGCACCAGUUUUAUUUUCUCUAACCAUAUUAGCUGUUGAUAUCUUAUUGGUUUGCUUUUGUCCCUGUAUUUAUUAUGUAUGUUUGAACUCCUAACUCUUAUUUGGCACUGUUACCUUUCCUGUUCCACCAUACUUAGUGGGCUUUUAUGUUCUCUUUGCUGUUUUAACACCCUCUGGCACCAGGAAGACUGAGUUGCAGGUUUUUCUAUUUUUACAUUGGUGUGUUUGUGGCUUUCUGACCCAUCUUCUAUUUUUUGAGUGUCCUUUUAAGACAAAUCAGUGACUACUAAUGCACUCCAGAAAAAUACUGAAUAUCCAUGACAAAUCUUCCCAGCUGUCCUAAAAAUUUCUUUUACAAAUGGAUAUAUGAUUUAAU